CGGCAGGCCUAACACAUGCAAGUCGAGCGGUAGCACAGAGAGCUUGCUCUCGGGUGACGAGCGGCGGACGGGUGAGUAAUGUCUGGGAAACUGCCUGAUGGAGGGGGAUAACUACUGGAAACGGUAGCUAAUACCGCAUAACGUCGCAAGACCAAAGUGGGGGACCUUCGGGCCUCAUGCCAUCAGAUGUGCCCAGAUGGGAUUAGCUAGUAGGUGGGGUAACGGCCCACCUAGGCGACGAUCCCUAGCUGGUCUGAGAGGAUGACCAGCCACACUGGAACUGAGACACGGUCCAGACUCCUACGGGAGGCAGCAGUGGGGAAUAUUGCACAAUGGGCGCAAGCCUGAUGCAGCCAUGCCGCGUGUGUGAAGAAGGCCUUCGGGUUGUAAAGCACUUUCAGCGGGGAGGAAGGCGUUAAGGUUAAUAACCUUGGCGAUUGACGUUACCCGCAGAAGAAGCACCGGCUAACUCCGUGCCAGCAGCCGCGGUAAUACGGAGGGUGCAAGCGUUAAUCGGAAUUACUGGGCGUAAAGCGCACGCAGGCGGUCUGUCAAGUCGGAUGUGAAAUCCCCGGGCUCAACCUGGGAACUGCAUUCGAAACUGGCAGGCUAGAGUCUUGUAGAGGGGGGUAGAAUUCCAGGUGUAGCGGUGAAAUGCGUAGAGAUCUGGAGGAAUACCGGUGGCGAAGGCGGCCCCCUGGACAAAGACUGACGCUCAGGUGCGAAAGCGUGGGGAGCAAACAGGAUUAGAUACCCUGGUAGUCCACGCCGUAAACGAUGUCGAUUUGGAGGUUGUGCCCUUGAGGCGUGGCUUCCGGAGCUAACGCGUUAAAUCGACCGCCUGGGGAGUACGGCCGCAAGGUUAAAACUCAAAUGAAUUGACGGGGGCCCGCACAAGCGGUGGAGCAUGUGGUUUAAUUCGAUGCAACGCGAAGAACCUUACCUGGUCUUGACAUCCACAGAACUUUCCAGAGAUGGAUUGGUGCCUUCGGGAACUGUGAGACAGGUGCUGCAUGGCUGUCGUCAGCUCGUGUUGUGAAAUGUUGGGUUAAGUCCCGCAACGAGCGCAACCCUUAUCCUUUGUUGCCAGCGGUUAGGCCGGGAACUCAAAGGAGACUGCCAGUGAUAAACUGGAGGAAGGUGGGGAUGACGUCAAGUCAUCAUGGCCCUUACGACCAGGGCUACACACGUGCUACAAUGGCAUAUACAAAGAGAAGCGACCUCGCGAGAGCAAGCGGACCUCAUAAAGUAUGUCGUAGUCCGGAUUGGAGUCUGCAACUCGACUCCAUGAAGUCGGAAUCGCUAGUAAUCGUAGAUCAGAAUGCUACGGUGAAUACGUUCCCGGGCCUUGUACACACCGCCCGUCACACCAUGGGAGUGGGUUGCAAAAGAAGUAGGUAGCUUAACCUUCGGGAGGGCGCUUACCACUUUGUGAUUCAUGACUGGGGUGAAGUCAUA
rnacentral:rRNA from 1 species